GAUGAACGCUGGCGGCGUGCCUAAUACAUGCAAGUCGAGCGAACAGACGAGGAGCUUGCUCCUCUGACGUUAGCGGCGGACGGGUGAGUAACACGUGGAUAACCUACCUAUAAGACUGGGAUAACUUCGGGAAACCGGAGCUAAUACCGGAUAAUAUAUUGUACCGCAUGGUUCAAUAGUGAAAGACGGUUUUGCUGUCACUUAUAGAUGGAUCCGCGCCGCAUUAGCUAGUUGGUAAGGUAACGGCUUACCAAGGCAACGAUGCGUAGCCGACCUGAGAGGGUGAUCGGCCACACUGGAACUGAGACACGGUCCAGACUCCUACGGGGGGCAGCAGUAGGGAAUCUUCCGCAAUGGGCGAAAGCCUGACGGAGCAACGCCGCGUGAGUGAUGAAGGUCUUCGGAUCGUAAAACUCUGUUAUUAGGGAAGAACAAAUGUGUAAGUAACUAUGCACGUCUUGACGGUACCUAAUCAGAAAGCCACGGCUAACUACGUG
rnacentral:rRNA from 1 species